CCUACGGGUGGCAGCAGUGAGGAAUAUUGGUCAAUGGACGAGAGUCUGAACCAGCCAAGUAGCGUGAAGGAUGACUGCCCUAUGGGUUGUAAACUUCUUUUAUAAAGGAAUAAAACGAGGCACGUGUGCCUUUUUGCAUGUACUUUAUGAAUAAGGAUCGGCUAACUCCGUGCCAGCAGCCGCGGUACUACGGAGGAUCCGAGCGUUAUCCGGAUUUAUUGGGUUUAAAGGGAGCGUAGAUGGGUUGUUAAGUCAGUUGUGAAAGUUUGCGGCUCAACCGUAAAAUUGCAAUUGAUACUGGCAGUCGUGAGUACAGUUGAGGUAGGCGGAAUUCGUGGUGUAGCGGUGAAAUGCUUAGAUAUCACGAAGAACCCCGAUUGCGAAGGCAGCUUACUAAACUGUGACUGACAUUGAUGCUCGAAAGUGUGGGUAUCAAACAGGAUUAGAUACCCAGUAGUC
rnacentral:rRNA from 1 species